rnacentral:rRNA from 1 species
CCUACGGGUGGCAGCAGUGGGGGAUAUUGCACAAUGGUGGAAACCCUGAUGCAGCGACGCCGCGUGUAGGAAGACGGUCCUCUGGAUUGUAAACUACUGUCCCCAGGGACGAAGAUGACGGUACCUGGGGAGGAAGCUCCGGCUAACUACGUGCCAGCAGCCGCGGUAAUACGUAGGGAGCGAGCGUUGUCCGGAAUUACUGGGUGUAAAGGGAGCGUAGGCGGGGAUGCAAGUUGGGUGUUAAAUCUACCGGAUCAACUGGUAGUCGCACUCAAAACUGCAGCUCGUGAGUGAAGUAGAGGCAGGCGGAAGUCCGAGUGUAGCGGUGAAAUGCGUAGAUAUUAGGAGGAACACCAGGGGCGAAGGCGGCCUGCUGGGCUUUUACUGACGCUGAGGCUCGAAAGUGUGGGGAGCAAACAGGAUUAGAUACCCUGGUAGUC